rnacentral:tRNA from 1 species
GCCUGGGUGGCUCAGUGGUUGAGCAUCUGCCUUUGGCUCAGGGCAUGAUCCGGGGAUCUGGGAUCGAGUCCCACACCAGGCU